rnacentral:rRNA from 1 species
AGUAACGCGUGGGUAACCUGCCUUGUACAGGGGGAUAACAGUUGGAAACGGCUGCUAAUACCGCAUAAGCGCACAGCAUCGCAUGAUGCAGUGUGAAAAACUCCGGUGGUAUAAGAUGGACCCGCGUUGGAUUAGCUAGUUGGUGAGGUAACGGCCCACCAAGGCGACGAUCCAUAGCCGACCUGAGAGGGCGACCGGCCACAUUGGGACUGAGACACGGCCCAA